GUCGCAUCUGACAGCAUAGAGGUGGUGGUCAUCUGUUUAUCAGGUUAAGAUAGGAUAUGUCCUCUAUCAGGGAAAACAUAUUAAAUGGAUUUUUAGCAAUGGGAGUUGAAAAAAGGGGCUUGCUCCGUUCACUCCACGCAUCGAAACGCGGUAUUGCAGCAUCGCUGGGAACGGUGCACCAUCU